rnacentral:rRNA from 1 species
UGCAGUCGACGAUGAACCUCCUUCGGGAGGGGAUUAGUGGCGAACGGGUGAGUAACACGUGGGCAAUCUGCCCUGCACUCUGGGACAAGCCCUGGAAACGGGGUCUAAUACCGGAUACGACUCGGGAGGGCAUCCUUCCGGGUGGAAAGCUCCGGCGGUGCAGGAUGAGCCCGCGGCCUAUCAGCUUGUUGGUGGGGUGAUGGCCUACCAAGGCGACGACGGGUAGCCGGCCUGAGAGGGCGACCGGCCACACUGGGACUGAGACACGGCCCAGACUCCUACGGGAGGCAGCAGUGGGGAAUAUUGCACAAUGGGCGAAAGCCUGAUGCAGCGACGCCGCGUGAGGGAUGACGGCCUUCGGGUUGUAAACCUCUUUCAGCAGGGAAGAAGCGCAAGUGACGGUACCUGCAGAAGAAGCGCCGGCUAACUACGUGCCAGCAGCCGCGGUAAUACGUAGGGCGCAAGCGUUGUCCGGAAUUAUUGGGCGUAAAGAGCUCGUAGGCGGCUUGUCGCGUCGGAUGUGAAAGCUCGGGGCUUAACCCCGGGUCUGCAUUCGAUACGGGCAGGCUAGAGUGUGGUAGGGGAGAUCGGAAUUCCUGGUGUAGCGGUGAAAUGCGCAGAUAUCAGGAGGAACACCGGUGGCGAAGGCGGAUCUCUGGGCCAUUACUGACGCUGAGGAGCGAAAGCGUGGGGAGCGAACAGGAUUAGAUACCCUGGUAGUCCACGCCGUAAACGUUGGGAACUAGGUGUUGGCGACAUUCCACGUCGUC